rnacentral:rRNA from 1 species
CCUACGGGUGGCUGCAGUCGAGAAUCUUCGGCAAUGGGCGCAAGCCUGACCGAGCGACGCCACGUGCGGGAUGACGGCCCUCGGGUUGUAAACCGCUGUCGGGGGGGACGAAGUCACGGGGGGCACUCCCCUCGUGUUGACGGAGCCCCGGAGGAAGCGCGGGCUAAGUACGUGCCAGCAGCCGCGGUAAGACGUACUGCGCGAACGUUAUUCGGAAUCACUGGGCUUAAAGGGUGCGCAGGCGGCUCGCGAAGCCCGCAGUGAAAGGCCCCGGCCCAACCGGGGACGUGCUGCGGGGACUCGCGGGCUCGGGCGAGCUAGGGGUCCGCGGAACUCCCGGUGGAGCGGUGAAAUGUGUUGAGAUCGGGAGGAACGCCGGUGGCGAAAGCGGCGGACUGGGGCUUUGCCGACGCUCAGGCACGAAAGCCAGGGGAGCGAAC